GGGUCGUAAACGAGUUGAUACGACUAACCCAUUUAAUUAAUUGUGUCGUAUUCGGAUUGUAAGAUUUAACCUGCGUAACCCAUUUAUACCCGUUUAACUAACCGUGUUAUAAUUGUAUAAUAUGACCCGCAUAACCCGUUAAUCCAUUUAGGCCCAAUUUAUAAGGAUACUUAGGACAUUUUAUUUAAACACUAACAAAAGUCUGGCUCCUUUGUCGACUCAAUUACUUUGCAGUUCCCAAUUUUAUGUUAUUCGGAAGUUGCAGUUCUCAAUUACCCAUUCACGCUUAGCCUCUUCAGUCACACACAGUCACGCAUACCCAUACCUUAACCCUUCCGUCUCCCCUCCAUCUCUCUAUAAAUCAUAAAUGGUUGAAGAAAGAUCUAUCUCCAUCUCUUUAUCUCAAAGCCUAGGCCGAAAGAAGAAGACAACCUUCAAACGACCUCCUCGCUGGAAAUAGAAGCCACGCCGGAAUGGAUUCUCAAAAUGCUUAGAUCAAACUUGGAAGUGAUGGUGAUGAUGAAUUGGAAUUAAUGGAAAUUGAGGUGGAUCAGCAGAAUCAAAAUGUGCGUUUUGCCACAACCAAAAAAGAAGCAAGCUGGGAAGCGCAAACGAAGACUCACAUCAUCAGUUAGGGUGUACUUUGAUAUACUUCCAAUUGAUGAAAAAAAUAAGAAAAAAUGCAAAUGUAAAAAGUGUGGGGCUAUGUAUAUUGAAGGACUUAUUUUAUUUGAAGGAGUUGAGUGUUACAUUUUUAACA